GACAGAGGGUGCAAACGUUGUUCGGAAUUACUGGGCGUAAAGCGCGUGUAGGCUGCUCAGAAAGUCGGAUGUGAAAGCCCUGGGCUUAACCUAGGAAGUGCAUUCGAAACUUCUGAGCUUGAGUUCUGGAGAGGAAGGCGGAAUUCUCGGUGUAGAGGUGAAAUUCGUAGAUAUCGAGAGGAACACCGGUGGCGAAGGCGGCCUUCUGGACAUUGACUGACGCUGAGACGCGAAAGCGUGGGAGCAAACAGG
rnacentral:rRNA from 1 species